AUGUGAGGAGGAGUCAAUGCAAAACUCAGAUAUCUUCCACCUCUACUUAUCUGACUGCAGAGAGGAGGACAGAGAACAGUGGACACACAGUUUAACAUGAUGGACUAUAGGACAGGACUGCUGCUUUUAACUAUCUGCUGGGCAGGUGUUGAUGGUCAGACUCUGACAGAAUCUGAACCAGUGAUUAAAAGGCCUGGAGAAUCUCACAGACUGACCUGUACAGCCUCUGGACUGACAGUCAGUGGCUACUGGAUGAACUGGGUCAGACAGGCUCCUGGAAAAGGACUGGAGUGGAUUGCCACUAUUGAUGUUACUAGCACCUACUACUCUCAGUCAGUCAAAGGCCGGUUCACCAUCUCCAGAGACAACAGCAGACAGCAGGUGUAUCUGCAGAUGAACAGUCUGAAGACUGAAGAUUCUGCUGUUUAUUAUUGUGCUCGAGAGACACAGUGACUGGAGUUGGUUGAGCAGCUGUACAAAAA